CAAAUAUCUGCAUUCGGGAUCUUUCCAUUUCAUUUUCUCGCUACCCUCGACCUUCGCUUCACCGAGAGCUUGGACUUGCCUGAUUUUAGGGUUUCUUUCUAAUUUGAUCUCCUCAUUGAGAAACCCGAGUCCUCGGAUCAGUGCAUAUCAAAUAAUUCAAGUCUGAGCAUUCUGGUUGUUAGGCUUCCUCGAUCAGCCAAGUUUCAUGU
rnacentral:misc_RNA from 1 species